AUCUAUCUAGACUAUCUAUUAUUAUAGAUACUAUAUAUAUUACAAUACAAGUAAUUUAAAUAUAAUAUAAUAUAAUUUAAAUAUAUAUGAAUACACACAGACAGACACACAGACACACAGACACACAGAGUCACACGUGUGACCUUGUCUACUUUAAUGUCAAUUUGUCAGAAGCACAUUACUAAUUGUUCCAUGUAUAUGGUACUGAGGAAAGUCAUUGAGAAAUUGAUUUUCUAGCAGAAAAAAAAACAAAAAAAUGAAGACAUGUGUUAGAGGUACUUAUGGGUGUGUAUCACAGCUGUACACAUGAUGGCAUUAUUUGAAUCCAGACUUUUUAGAAAAUAUUUUAGAGGACUAAUAUUGUAGUUCACAUGGACUUGUCCUAUCUUAUUUAGAGUAGUGAUGAGCACACGCAUAAGUCAGUAGUCCUCAUUUGAUUAGAUGUAUUCAGCAAAUAAACUACUCUAUAGUAAUCCAGGUACUUCUUACAUGGUGGCCAAAAAUGUGAAGAAAAUCAUUCAUCAAAACAAACGAGUAAUCUACAACGAUGUGGUUAUUACUAUAGUGCAUAUGCCUCUGCUUAACUUGUAUUGUACGAUUUAUAAAUUGCCAGUUAAAUAAUAAUUAAUGCAAGACUCAAGAAGUCAUAUGUUCCUCUAGUAUAAACCAAUGAGAUCGAUAGAAAUAAGUCAAGUGGACUCUCCCUGUCUGCAUGCACGUGCCAGAUGACAGGCGCAGCUGUCUGAAACCUGGCCAUCCAACACAGAAGAUAAGUGGAUAAUCCUAGUUAGGAAAGCAUGUGUCAUGUUUCAGCCUCUGCUGCUUUGUCACACUCCCCAGAACAGGCAUUCCUAGGCUCAAGCCAUCUUCCAUGGUCACCAGCCCACUUACGAGCUGACUAAAUGUGUCAUGGUAGACCUUAGCGAGAAGAAUGACUGAUAGUGGUCAUGUGAAUUAGAUGCUUCGUAUUAUUUAGCAGAGAGGAGCAAGGGGCAGAUCGAUGGCUGUGCAGGGAAGACCUGGAUACUUAGAAUCAGAGGUUGGAAAGAAGAGCAGGGUUCCCUUAAGCUGGCCUGUUACUUCCACAGCUAUCUCCCUCAACACAGAGAAAUAAGCAUCAUAAAAUGAAUGUGAAAUGUGAUUGUAUUAGGCCAAAUGUGACCAAUGAAACAAAUUAAAUUAUCACGAAUUAGACCGUUGAAUUGGCCAUGCCUGUAAAAGCAAGAUUCAUCUCUGAAGGAGACUUGGCAUAUGAGCUUUUUCUUUGUUUGAGAGGAGCUUCUGGCUUAUUUCAGUCCUUGGGAAAGAUAAUAGAGAUUUCUGUGGUUAUCAGUGAAGAAGUGAUUCCAUGAUCAGCCAAUAGAAACGUGAAUGCAGGAAAGCAGAGCCAUACCAGAUCAAUGGGGGAGACGGUGGCUGUAAGAGAGGACACAAGUCCCUUUCUCAGAGGGCCAUCCUGCACCAGAAUUGUACUCCAUCAUAAUUAUUUCAUAUUUUAAUUCUCUGAAUAUCAAUAAAACAAUAAAGGAGUAUCUAAAUGAGGGAUGGAUCCUCCCAGGGAAACAAGGUCCACAUGAGUCUUGGUUAGGUUGAAGUAGUUCAUGUUGUAAGUCAUGAUUGUCAAAGCAAAUCCUUAUAAUAUUGAAGACAUGGAAUCUAUGAUUCAUCAAAUAUAUAUCAUCAAAUAUAUAUGGAAAUUGGAGGGUAAUUAACAUACAUUUUAACAUUGGUGAUCUCUGAGUUCACCAUAUGAAUAAUUAAAGACUGGAUGUGGCUGACACAGAAAAGAACGAGAUGAAGCAAUUAUAUUAUAUCAUUUAAGUACUGAUUUGUGAAUAUGAGAUAAACAGAUAUUGGAGGUCAAGGACAUUGAGUACUUUACUGACAAGUUAUAGAUACAGCCCAACACAUACAGGCUAUAGUUUGUGAAUCUUUGGUUCAUGGACAUGUGUUUACAUAAAGUUAUCACAGGAAAUUGAGUUGUUUGAAUUGAAGUUAGGUGGCUAAAAUGAGGUUCCAAAGGUAAAUAAGAAUGGUAGCAAAUGCUAGAGAAGUCACUUGAUAGUAAUACUCCUCAAAAUAAAGUUAGUGCAGAACGUCUGGCUGGAAUGGGGUAUCCUAGAUGACUUGAUAAUCUCCUUGUAUUGGAGGGAACGUAACCCCACGCCCUUAGAGAGAAAGCCAGGUUUUCCUUUCAAAUGUAGGAAUCGUGGGACAAUCUUGAGAGCAAGUCUUUAGAUUUUUACUUCUUUCUCUGCCUUCUACCAUCCAUGGAGAAGACCCAAGUGAUCUCAAAGGUUUGCAGUGACGGACAGUUCCUGGGAUGCCAUAGCAACAAUUCAGAGCUCAUGGUGACUUGACAUCUUCGGCUUUGAUCCUUCGGUUGGAACCUGCUGAUAGAAAAGCUGACUUAACUGAUGGCACAAGUGUACUCUGAACCAGAACCCACUUCGGUCUUCACCGUGACAGCCUGAGCCCUGCUGACUGAGAGGCGGCAUUUUGAUCUUCCUCACUUAAGAGAGCUGACCCAAGUGAUAUGAGAAGUUUGCUGUGAUGGACAGUUUCUGGGUGCUUUGCCAACAAUCCAGAGUACAUGGUGACAUGUCAACUCCAGCUGUGAUCCUCCUGUGUGGCACUGACUUACAGAAAUGGCGACCCAACAGAUGGUACCAGCAUGCUGAGAUAUAGAACCACCCUUGUAUCACCACUGUGACAUCUCAGAGCUUUGCCGACCAAGAGGCAACAUCUUGAUCUUCCUUGCCCACCAGCUUGCAGGAAGGUGACUCUAGUGAUGGUAGAGUUAUGGAUAAUGGACAAUUCCUGGGAUGCCAUGGCAACAGUCCACAGCCCAUGGUGACUUGUCAACUCCAGCUCUGUUCCUUCUGUGCGCACCUGCUUAUAGGUAUGGAGAUUUAAUCAAAGCAUCGGUGAUCAAGCAGAUAUGGGUAGAAAGUGUUAACUUAGUGCUAGCUUGUGGAUCACACAGUGUGAUGCCACACUUACCAAGAAUGAGUCAAUUCUGAGAGAGGGGAACCCAGAACAAUGAUGAGAUCUGGUGGCAUCUGAAUUUUUCUUGAUGGCAUCCAUGUCAAGAGAAAUCUGAAGUCAGGUACAGAGCCACUUGAGCUGAACUGCCCUCCAUUGUAAGUUCCAUUAGCAAGGAAACAUGGCUGACAGGUAGUCGAAGUUGGUUUAAAUUGUGCAGAACCACAACCUUGCAUGGGGACCUCACAAAGGGCAUGUUGAGAAAUAGGUGUACUGAGAUGCUGACCCUAAGCAGCAUGCCAGAGCAUAGAGGGGACCCAGCUCUUUUUUCCUUCAAGUGGAAAGAAAUUAGUCUUUUCUGGGAAGAAAAUGUACAGGUACAGCUCAGGCAAAGCCCAUCAGCCUGAGUGACGUCACCGUGGAGAACAUGGCAUGGUGACCCACAGUCUCAACACUCUCUGUCCCUUUUCUCCCCUGUUUUCCUCAGAAAGGCUGACCUGGUGAUGGUGAACCACCACCCCAAGUCUGCAUGUCACAAAUCAGCAUCUCUCUCUCCUAUGGAGUCUGGUUCUAGGUCUUGACAGAGGCUGAUUGACUGAUGUCAUUGCAAAAGUUUCCUGUCAUAGAGAGUUCCUCUGAUGUCCCUUCAGCACCACUACAACUGGAUUUCCUAUGUUUAAUGACUGCCUCAAGGUAAACAUGGGUAAAAGCCAUACAUUUUGUCGAUGUUUUGGUUAUUAUGGCUGUAACUUUACAAAGCAUGAAAUAGAAUCCUACAGGUCUACUCUUACUUUGUCUUUUGGGGUGAAGAUGGGCUUGUGUCCUGAGUAAAUACGAUGUCUGAAGAUGGUUCAUAGCACUUUCUUCAUAGCGCUGUGAAUACUACAGUCUGAAUAUAUCAGAGAGCUGUGCUCCUGUUGAAUAUUUGUGUAUCACCAGCAUUGCUAGUGAAUUAUUGGCUUAGCCAGUAAAUAGUAUCUAUGAGAACGAGGAAAGGUCAAGCCAUUUCUGGACCAAUGAUGAUAGUUACCAAGGUAUGAGAGAGAUGACGAAUAACACUUGUCUGAAGCUCAGAGGUCCAACCCAAAAGAUAGGUAGAUAAUCAAAGGUCCUUGAAGGACAAUGGCAUUUUUUUUUUCUUUUGUGCUCUGUUUUGUACUCCUCAGAAUGUGUGCUCCUAGGCUGAUGUCUGCAUUUUCUAUGAUCAGCAGUGGAACAUUUGCACCUCUGCAUUGAACAUGGGGCAGUGUGGACCAUCUAAUUAGAGGACCCUCCAAUGGUCAAGCACUCUAUUUGCACCAGCUUGAGGAGACGAACAAGACCAGUAAUGGACUUUCCCAAGGUAUCUAUUCACCUCCAAUGGCUUCCAGCCCUUCAGUUGCUCGUGAUGAUGUGAGAUCUGCCCAAACUUCUCCUCAUAGUUUUGAUGGUUUGAUGAAGGUGUUUGCUGCCUGGAGGAGGUCUCCAUGUCUAGGAUCUCCGCUGAUGUCAUGGGUGGUGCUGGGCUGACCAGUGUGAGUAGUGCCUUGGACUCUUUCUCCACGUUUGGUGGUUUGCUUAGCAGAACUCAGUGUGUCACUGAGAACUGUAACAUGGCAUUUAGAAUGAGUGUUUCAUACCAGGGAGUGCCACAGACAUGAAUGGAAGUUGUCAAAUUAUUAAUAAAACAUUGAGGAUGGUUAAUUAAGGCUAGAACACUUCCACACUGAUUAGGAAUAAGAUUUUUAGGGUUGUUGGAAUAAUAGGUGCUCAAAUUAUUAUUAGCUGAUCGUUGAACUAAUUAUCAGACAAUAGGAAAGGACUGCUUGGAAAGAGAAAGGAGCAGCCAUGACUGAUCCUGAGCACUGUUGACAUAUGAGUCACAUGGAUAACUACAUGUCUGGAACUUUGAGAUCUACUAAAGAAGUAAUAUAAUCCUCUGUCUUCAUUUCAAGUGUUCCUGUAGAAAGACUACCAGCCCGGAUAAUCUGUUCAUUUCGCCCCACCCUCCCUUGUUAUAAAUUCUAUUUUGUUUUUAUAAUUAUAUCAAUGUGAGAAUCAAGCAAUCAGUCUCAAAAAUAAGUGAAAAUGAAAUGGGUAAAUCAUUGCCUGAGCCAAGAAAUAGAUUAGUAUGUACAGAAUAUUAUGCCACCUUAAAAUUUUUUUCUUGCCGCUGAUGACCUGAAGCAUGUAAAUUACAAUGUCUGCAUUCUGAGAGAGUUUGAAAAUUCCUUGUUUUUAAGCCACAAGAACAUUAAAUAUGCUCCAAAAAUGGUGGGCCUAGUGGCCAGUGGUAGGUGAGAAGUGAAACCUGUUAAAGGGAAAGACUUGAUUUCUUGUUCAGUCAUCCCUAGAAUGGACGCACUGUCUGACAGGGGCAUCCUCCAUGAUUGGGGUCUCCUGUUUCUGCUGGACUGAUUCUGAAUAGUUUUGCUUAAGUUCAGAAAAAAAAAAAAAAGAUUCAAAAUUCUGUUUUGAAAGAUUUGCUUACGAUUACUCAGUGCCUUAUGCAGCUAGGAGGUUUCCAUCUUUAGUACCCGCCCUUUAUAGACAGAGGCCUCGAGAAGUAGAUCUCUGAGUUUAAGGACAGUCUGAGCUACAAACCAAGUUCCAGAACAGCCAGCGCUCCACACAGACAAAAAUAAUAUUCACAUGAUUAGUGAAGACCACCUGUAUCCCAGUGAUUGAUCACUGAUGGAUAUUGAGUCUUCUAUUGAUUGUACUUUUAUGAAAAUGUGAAUUAAUUACCAGCUAGUCUGAAGUUAUUCAUCUUCUUAUAAAAUUAAAGACUCCAACUGAGUCAAAAAGAUACAAAACUAGAAUGGAGAGUGAGCAGGUCUUCCGUCUCUCAUAUUCUGUCUGAUGUUUGUUUCCGAGUGAAGGAACGAUGUUACUGAAGAGUCUGCCAUGGUCAAGGGCUCUGUGCUUUCCCAAGAAGAAGUUCAUGUUGAAUAGUAGAGCAAUGGGAAGAGAGUUCCUUAUUCACACCUGGGGUUUAAGUACAGCGGAUGCAUGCAGCUCCUCUCAUCAUGGAUACUUCAGGAUGAAGGUCACAACACUCACUGCAUGGCUGGGCCAGUACAGACCUCAAUGAGUAAGAGACCAAGUUUCCUGCUUGCUCUUUCUGUUAAGCUGAUCACUGUCUACUUCAAAUUGGCAUUAUGUGUCAUAUAGUCAAAGAUAACUACACAUAUUCCAAUGCUUGGGGUGGGGGGUCCUGGAAAGCCACAGUCAGUCUGUGUGCAUAAAUGGGACCUAUACACUGUAGGUUUUGACUACAUUCUGGAAAUGAGAUUACAGACACUCUCUUAUGUGCAGGCAAAACCUUGUUCUUGUUAAGAAAAGGACAUAGAAUAAAGGGCUCACACAGCACCCAUCCUGGAAUUGUACCAUAAAAGAUUUAUUUUAACUAGGGUGAGGUAUUGUGCUCCACUAAUGGAGUCUACAGAAAAAAAUGUAGAAAACCAACUCCCCCUGUUGUGUUUGGCUGUAAAAUCUUUUCUGUUGAUUUAAUUUAAUUUUUGAAAAUGAGUGACUAAAUUAAUCAGGAAAAAUCUAUGCCCAGAAAUUGUAAAUGUUGGAGAUUAUCCCCAUGAGAUGAGAACGCUGGCCAUGAAAAUUAAGAUUUAUGGGCAACUCAAAUUUUUCCUCUUAAUCCCAUUUAACACAAAAAGAUUUAAUCUGUUGCCUUUGUAUGUAAGGAACCCUGCCCCAAACCACAUUAAAUACUCAUUCUUUUUCAUUUAUUUUGUACUUCGAUGAGUUUACAAAACUGUC
rnacentral:lncRNA from 1 species